rnacentral:rRNA from 1 species
GAUGAACGCUGGCGGCAUGCCUAAUACAUGCAAGUCGAACGAGAGGAAGGAAAGCUUGCUCUCCUGAAUCUAGUGGCGAACGGGUGAGUAACACGUAGGUAACCUGCCCAUGUGCCCGGGAUAACUUCUGGAAACGGAUGCUAAAACCGGAUAGGUAGCAGACAAGCAUUUGACUGCUAUUAAAGUGGCCUUGGCCAUGAACAUGGAUGGACCUGCGGUGCAUUAGCUGGUUGGUGAGGUAACGGCCCACCAAGGCGACGAUGCAUAGCCGGCCUGAGAGGGCGGACGGCCACAUUGGGACCGAGACACGGCCCAAACUCCUACGGGAGGCAGCAGUAGGGAAUUUUCGUCAAUGGGGGGAACCCUGAACGAGCAAUGCCGCGUGAGUGAGGAAGGUCUUCGGAUCGUAAAGCUCUGUUGUAAGAGAAAAACGGCACUCAUAGGGGAUGAUGAGUGAGUGAUGGUAUCUUACCAGAAAGUCACGGCUAACUACGUGCCAGCAGCCGCCGUAA